UACGUACAAGCAGUGGGAGCCCCACCACUAAGCCAGUGGUGAACUCCACAUACGCAUCCUUUGCUGAGGAUACGGUUAACGGAGCGAAAGCGACGUUCAACCUCAAAAGAAGCAGAGGGGGCUUAGUGGUGGGGUGACUGCGUACCUUUUGUAUAAUGGGUCAGCGACUUAUAUUCUGUAGCAAGGUUAACCGAAUAGGGGAGCCGGAGGGAAACCGAGUCUUAACCGGGCGUUAAGUUGCAGGGUA
rnacentral:rRNA from 1 species